rnacentral:rRNA from 1 species
AACUCUGGUAUUGAUUGGUGCUUGCAUCAUGAUUUACAUUUGACCGAUUGGCGAACUGGUGAGUAACACGUGGGAAACCUGCCCAGAAGCGGGGGAUAACACCUGGAAACAGAUGCUAAUACCGCAUAACAACUUGGACCGCAUGGUCCGAGCUUGAAAGAUGGCUUCGGCUAUCACUUUUGGAUGGUCCCGCGGCGUAUUAGCUAGAUGGUGGGGUAACGGCUCACCAUGGCAAUGAUACGUAGCCGACCUGAGAGGGUAAUCGGCCACAUUGGGACUGAGACACGGCCCAAACUCCUACGGGAGGCAGCAGUAGGGAAUCUUCCACAAUGGACGAAAGUCUGAUGGAGCAACGCCGCGUGAGUGAAGAAGGGUUUCGGCUCGUAAAACUCUGUUGUUAAAGAAGAACAUAUCUGAGAGUAACUGUUCAGGUAUUGACGGUAUUUAACCAGAAAGCCACGGCUAACUACGUGCCAGCAGCCGCGGUAAUACGUAGGUGGCAAGCGUUGUCCGGAUUUAUUGGGCGUAAAGCGAGCGCAGGCGGUUUUUUAAGUCUGAUGUGAAAGCCUUCGGCUCAACCGAAGAAGUGCAUCGGAAACUGGGAAACUUGAGUGCAGAAGAGGACAGUGGAACUCCAUGUGUAGCGGUGAAAUGCGUAGAUAUAUGGAAGAACACCAGUGGCGAAGGCGGCUGUCUGGUCUGUAACUGACGCUGAGGCUCGAAAGUAUGGGUAGCAAACAGGAUUAGAUACCCUGGUAGUCCAUACCGUAAACGAUGAAUGCUAAGUGUUGGAGGGUUUCCGCCCUUCAGUGCUGCAGCU